rnacentral:lncRNA from 1 species
UCUUGACUAAAUGAAUUUUUCCUUUUCUGCUUGUCACCAUAGGAAUCAGUCGUUAAAUGGCUGGGGUGGAUUUUUCAUAGCCAAAUUUGAAAUCACAUAUUGCUUUGCUUAAUUAUGAAGUCAUGUAGCACUUUUUCAGCUCCCUCAGUAGAAGACAGAUAUAACCAACCAGCGUAAUACGAAGAUCAAAUUCUGGCUAUUUCAGCCAGCUCUACUGUUCAACCACUAUUAUUGAUACAGGUUUGUUCUCUGAUGAAUCUUAUGGAGCAUGAACAUUUGUGCCAGCACAAGAGGCCGUCUGGGGUAGAGAUGGAAAGAAGCAGACAAGGACAGCAGGAGGACGGAUGAUCAUUUUUCCUUAUAAGUGCUGGAUGAAGAUGAGUAGCCAGUCUCCUCUUUCCUCUGGUGACUUCUGUCAUCAAAUUGGCAGCUCUACAUAUUACUUCCAUCCGUGCUGGCAGACCAGCGGAAGCUGUUGGCGCCUGUCACCUACUGGGAUCAGGUCUUUUUUAUUUUCUUUAGAGAGCUUAUAAGGAACCAUUUCUCCAGUUAUAUUCUUG